rnacentral:tRNA from 1 species
AGAGACUUAGGAUAACCAAGACCUAGGACCUUCAAAGCCCUGAGUAGGAGUGAAAACCUCCUAGUCUCUG